UACAGAGGUCUCAAGCGUUGUUCGGAUUCAUUGGGCGUAAAGGGUGCGUAGGCGGCGCGGUAAGUCGGGUGUGAAAUCUCGGAGCUUAACUCCGAAACUGCAUUCGAUACUGCCGUGCUUGAGGACUGGAGAGGAGACUGGAAUUUACGGUGUAGCGGUGAAAUGCGUAGAUAUCGGGAGGAACACCAGUAGCGAAGGCGGCACUCUGGGCCGGUACUGACGCUGAGGAGCGAAAGCGUGGGGAGCGAACAGG
rnacentral:rRNA from 1 species